CGUAACAAUGGGCCGAUUAUUCCAUUUCAACAAGUGAAUGCUCGAACAGCGGCUUUGACAGGUGUUUCUGAAAGAACCGUGAACCGUAUAGUUUCAGAGGGAAAAAUCAUGGAAAGUAAUUUUACAGCGAGAACUGAAGUCCCUAAUCAAGCAGCUCAAGGACCUUCCACAUCCACAGCUUGUGAUGACAAUUCCACACCAGAGAACACUACUUCCGAGGCUAAGACGAUAAAACUAGUCACUCCAGGUAAAAGUAGAAAAAGAAAAUUAACUGUUUCUGAUUUGGAUGACUUUGAUCUUUGUGUUAUUAGACGCAAAAUCCAAUCUUAUUAUUUAAAUAAUUCCGUCCCUACUCUCAGAAAAUUACAUUGUGAUCUAAAGGCAGACAUCAAUUUCAAGGGUAGUAUAGAAUCUCUCAGAAAAAUACUACACAAGUUGGGAUUUAGUUAUAAAAAGAAUAAAUCCAAAAGGAUGGUUCUCAUGGAGCGAUAUGAUGUUGUUGCCUGGCGAUCAAGAUUUUUACGAGAAAUAGACAAUAAUAGAAGGAGUGACAAUCCGAGGCCAAUCGUUUAUUUGGACGAGACUUAUUUACACCCUGGCUAUAAAGUUAAAAAAUGUUGGCAGUCUGAGUAAACUGAAGGUGUCCUUACAAAAGUCUCAGAAGGUCAGAGAUGGAUCAUAGUGAAUGCCGGAAGUGAGAAAGGUUUUAUCCCCAAUAGUCUUUUGUGUUUCAAAUCUAAGACCAAAAGUGGAGAUUAUCACGACGAGAUGAAUGGAGAUAACUUCAGUAAAUGGCUACAAGAAAAGCUUAUCCCAAACUUAGAGCCCAAUUCAUUAAUAGUGAUGGACAAUGCGUCAUAUCACUGUAUUAAAAUAAAUAAACGCGUGACAAUGAACAGUAAGAAACAAGAGAUGCAA